rnacentral:miRNA from 1 species
AGCAUCAUAUCUCCUGCAUAG